CACUGAGCCCAUGCAGCCAGGUCCAGCCCACAUUCCUCAGCUGGCCUUGGUGUAGUGAGCAUGCUCGAUGCUCAACCGGAAGCUAAGCCCUGCACCAGGAGCCUUAGCUGCCAUCUGUGCCUGCAGACUCUGGCUCCAGUCAACUAGGCCACGGCAACUGGAAGCAAAAGUCCUGGCAAGUCCUUCAAAGAAGCAGAAUAACCAUUGGUGGCUGGCUCUGGUUCCCUAAGGAAAGUCGUGCCUUGGGAAGGCCUCCCGCACUACAGAAGAAGAAGAAUCACUGGGAUGGCUCAGCAGGGAAAAAGGAGCCUGCCUCGAAGCAAAGCGUGACAAGCAAAGUAUGGUCCCCGAGUAUCCAUAUG
rnacentral:lncRNA from 1 species